GGAAGAAGAACUACAGGAUUCCCCUAGUAACUGCGAGUGAAGCGGGAAAAGCUCAAAUUUAAAAUCUGACAGUCUCUGGCUGUCCGAGUUGUAAUCUAGAGAAGUAAUGCCCGUGCUGGACCGUAUACAAGUCUCCUGGGAUGGAGCAUCAUGGAGGGUGAGAAUCCCGUCUCUGAUACGGACUACCAGUGCAUUGUGGUAUGCUCUCAACGAGUCGAGUUGUUUGGGAAUGCAGCUCAAAAUGGGUGGUAAAUUCCAUCUAAAGCUAAAUAUUGGCGAGAGACCGAUAGCGAACAAGUACCGUGAGGGAAAGAUGAAAAGAACUUUGGAAAGAGAGUUAAACAGUACGUGAAAUUGCUGAAAGGGAAACGCUUGAAGUCAGUCGCGUCUGCUGGGAAUCAGCCUCGCUUUUGCGUGGUGUACUUUCUGGUUGACGGGUCAGCAUCAAUUUUGAUCGCUGGAAAAAUUUGGGAGGAAUGUGGCAGCCCAGGCUGUGUUAUAGCCUCUCAUUGUAUACAGCGGUUGGGAUUGAGGAAUGCAGCACGCCGAAAGGCCGGGUCUUCGGACUACGUUCGUGCUUAGGAUGCUGGCAUAAUGGCUUUAAGCGACCCGUCUUGAAACACGGACCAAGGAGUCUAACAUGCCUGCGAGUGUUUGGGUGGAAAACUCGAGCGCGCAAUGAAAGUGAAAGUUGAGAUCCCUGUCGUGGGGAGCAUCGACGCCCGGACCAGAACUUUUGGGACGGAUCCGCGGUAGAGCAUGUAUGUUGGGACCCGAAAGAUGGUGAACUAUGCCUGAAUAGGGUGAAGCCAGAGGAAACUCUGGUGGAGGCUCGUAGCGGUUCUGACGUGCAAAUCGAUCGUCAAAUUUGGGUAUAGGGGCGAAAGACUAAUCGAACCAUCUAGUAGCUGGUUCCUGCCGAAGUUUCCCUCAGGAUAGCAGAAACUCAUAUCAGAUUUAUGUGGUAAAGCGAAUGAUUAGAGGCCUUGGGGUUGAAACAACCUUAACCUAUUCUCAAACUUUAAAUAUGUAAGAACGAGCCGUUUCUUGAUUGAACCGCUCGGUGAAUGAGAGUUUCUAGUGGGCCAUUUUUGGUAAGCAGAACUGGCGAUGCGGGAUGAACCGAACGCGAGGUUAAGGUGCCGGAAUUCACGCUCAUCAGACACCACAAAAGGUGUUAGUUCAUCUAGACAGCAGGACGGUGGCCAUGGAAGUCGGAACCCGCUAAGGAGUGUGUAACAACUCACCUGCCGAAUGAACUAGCCCUGAAAAUGGAUGGCGCUUAAGCGUGAUACCCAUACCUCGCCGUCAGCGUUGAAGUGACACGUUGACGAGUAGGCAGGCGUGGAGGUCAGUGAAGAAGCCUGGCAGUAGCUGGUAAAC
rnacentral:rRNA from 1 species